CCUUCCGCCUCGGCAGCCAUUGGAGUUUCCAGCUGCUGUCGCAGCCAUGGCUCUGCGCUACCCCAUGGCCGUGGGUCUCAACAAGGGCCACAAGGUGACAAAGAACGUGAGCAAACCGAGGCACAGCCGCCGCCGCGGGCGUCUCACCAAACACACGAAGUUCGUGCGGGACAUGAUCCGAGAAGUGUGUGGUUUUGCCCCAUAUGAGCGGCGGGCCAUGGAGCUGCUCAAGGUCUCCAAGGACAAACGGGCCCUCAAGUUCAUCAAGAAAAGAGUGGGGACACACAUCCGUGCUAAG